rnacentral:rRNA from 1 species
GCCCUUACGUCCUGGGCUACACACACGCUACAAUGGCCGGUACAACGGGUUGCCAAACCGCGAGGUGGAGCUAAUCCCUUAAAACCGGUCACAGUUCGGAUUGCAGGCUGAAACUCGCCUGCAUGAAGCUGAAAUCACUAGUAAACGCAGAUCAUGACGCUGCGUUGAAUACGUUCUCGUCUCUUGUACUCACCGCCCGUCACACCAUGGGAGUUGGCAAUACUUGAAGACUACCGUAAGGUAGUUUAGGGUAGGGUCAGCGACUGGGGUGAAGUCGUAAAAAAGUUGC